rnacentral:lncRNA from 10 species
GCCGCAGCGACGGCGGUCUGCGGCUGUCGGUUCUGUUUGUUGCUGUCACUGCUGUUUGUUCUUGCCAGCGGCUAGGUGUGUAGUUGCUUGGGGCUCCUAGCACGAGGCCUCUGUCCCCAGGCACGCAGCGCCAGUCUCCGGCUGUUGCGCCCUGGGCGCCGCCUCUCUCCGGCCCCCCUUUGUUUCCUGAGCCAGCUGGGAAGACUAAAAGGGGUCUGGCUGUUUUGCCCAGAAUGGAGUGCAGUGGCGUGAUGGUCUCGGCUGACAGCAGCCUCGACCUCCUGGGCUCAAGCCUUGGCCUCCCAAAGUGCUGGGAUUACAGGUAUGAGCCACCAUGCCCGGCCCUCCCUUUCUUUUGUGUCUUUGGAUUUGUCUUUGUGGAGAGGGUACCAGCCCCACCUGCAGAGUCAAGUCCCUCCUCCCACCUCAGCACUGCUAGAAAAGAGCUUCAGGAUGGAGCCACACAUGUCACUCAAGCCCAAGGGUCAGUCAACAGCCCACAGCCCUAAAUUCAUCUGUGUCCAAUGCCAGACCCUGCAACUGCUGAUUUACAUGAAUCAACUCCAUCAUGCAAGCCUCAUGACAUCCCAAUGAGCCACCAUCCUGUGAGGAAGCCCAGAGCACAUGAAGAGACCACCUGCACAUGUUCAGAUCCACUGCCCCAGCUAAGAUCUCCGCUGACAGCCAGACCAAUCACCAAUCUUAGGAGCUGGCGAGCCUUCAGAUGGUCCAACCUUUGAGGCCCCCCAGAGGAGCCAGGUGGAGCAUAGAUGAGCCAUCCAUGUGGAUCCCUCCACCAAAUGGAAGAUUUAGGAGCAAAAUAAACAAUGUUGUCAUUGCUUUCACCCACGAAAUUGUUGAAUAAUUUGUUUUGCUGCUUAAGUAGCUGGAACACUGUGUUACCGAGGGAAGAGCAACAACCAACAGGAGAGAAUAGUCAGUUAAGUAAGAGAUUUUUGACCCUCUCCCUAUCCGUCCACUUUGCUCAACACAACAGAGAAGCCACAGCUUCCAAUAGGAAAAUAGAGAGGGAAGGUGUCUCCAACAGUCAGAUCACUCACUCCUGCCACCCCAGGGAGAGGGAAGGGGAGGAGGAAAAGCAUAGAUGAAAGUACCCUUCCCACAGCAGGUUCCCCAGCCACAGCCCUAGCCGACAGUAAAGAAAACUCAG